GAUUAACGCUGGCGGCGUGCAUAACACAUGCAAGUCGAACGAUGAAACUCAUUAGAUUUCUUCGGAAUGAAAAUGAAUGGAUUAGUGGCGAACGGGUGAGUAACGCGUGAGUAACCUGCCUUACACAAGGGGAUAGCCUCUGGAAACGGAGAAUAAUACCCUAUGAAACCAGACAAUCGCAUGAUAAUCUGGUCAAAAUGUUUAGUGGUGUAAGAUGGACUUGCGUCUGAUUAGCUAGUUGGUGAGAUAAAAGCUCACCAAGGCAACGAUCAGUAGCCGGCUUGAGAGAGUGUACGGCCACAUUGGGACUGAGACACGGCCCAGACUCCUACGGGAGGCAGCAGGGGGGAAUUUUGCACAAUGGGGGAAACCCUGAUGCAGCGACGCCGCGUGAUUUAGAAGGCCUUCGGGUUGUAAAAAUCUUUUGUAUAGGAAGAAAAUGACAGUACUAUACGAAUAAGGUCCGGCUAAUUACGUG
rnacentral:rRNA from 1 species